rnacentral:rRNA from 1 species
CAAACUGCGAAUACCGGAGAAUGUUAUCACGGGAGACACACGGCGGGUGCUAACGUCCGUCGUGAAGAGGGAAACAACCCAGACCGCCAGCUAAGGUCCCAAAGUCAUGGUUAAGUGGGAAACGAUGUGGGAAGGCCCAGACAGCCAGGAUGUUGGCUUAGAAGCAGCCAUCAUUUAAAGAAAGCGUAAUAGCUCACUGGUCGAGUCGGCCUGCGCGGAAGAUGUAACGGGGCUAAACCAUGCACCGAAGCUGCGGCAGCGAACGUAUCACUUAAAGCGAUUCAGCGGGUUACGAUUGACGGAGCGAAGCGACGUCAAAGCGUAUACAAAGUCGAGUCGGUUUAAGGAUACGUUCGUUGGGUAGGGGAGCGUUCUGUAAGCCUGUGAAGGUGUGUCGUGAGGCAUGCUGGAGGUAUCAGAAGUGCGAAUGCUGACAUAAGUAACGAUAAAGCGGGUGAAAAGCCCGCUCGCCGGAAGACCAAGGGUUCCUGUCCAACGUUAAUCGGGGCAGGGUGAGUCGACCCCUAAGGCGAGGCCGAAAGGCGUAGUCGAUGGGAAACGGGUUAAUAUUCCCGUACUUGGUGUUACUGCGAAGGGGGGACGGAGAAGGCUAUGUUGGCCGGGCGACGGUUGUCCCGGUUUAAGCGUGUAGGUGUGUGUUCCAGGUAAAUCCGGUUCACUUUAACACUGAGGCGUGAUGACGAGGCACUACGGUGCUGAAGCAACAAAUGCCCUGCUUCCAGGAAAAGCCUCUAAGCAUCAGGUAACAUCAAAUCGUACCCCAAACCGACACAGGUGGUCAGGUAGAGAAUACCAAGGCGCUUGAGAGAACUCGGGUGAAGGAACUAGGCAAAAUGGUGCCGUAACUUCGGGAGAAGGCACGCUGACACGUAGGUGAAGUGAUUUACUCAUGGAGCUGAAGUCAGUCGAAGAUACCAGCUGGCUGCAACUGUUUAUUAAAAACACAGCACUGUGCAAACACGAAAGUGGACGUAUACGGUGUGACGCCUGCCCGGUGCCGGAAGGUUAAUUGAUGGGGUCAGCGCAAGCGAAGCUCCUGAUCGAAGCCCCGGUAAACGGCGGCCGUAACUAUAACGGUCCUAAGGUAGCGAAAUUCCUUGUCGGGUAAGUUCCGACCUGCACGAAUGGCGUAAUGAUGGCCAGGCUGUCUCCACCCGAGACUCAGUGAAAUUGAACUCGCUGUGAAGAUGCAGUGUACCCGCGGCAAGACGGAAAGACCCCGUGAACCUUUACUAUAGCUUGACACUGAACAUUGAGCCUUGAUGUGUAGGAUAGGUGGGAGGCUUUGAAGCGUGGACGCCAGUCUGCGUGGAGCCGACCUUGAAAUACCACCCUUUAAUGUUU